AACGAACGCUGGCGGCAGGCUUAACACAUGCAAGUCGAGCGCCGUAGCAAUACGGAGCGGCAGACGGGUGAGUAACGCGUGGGAAUCUACCCAUCACUACGGAACAACUCCGGGAAACUGGAGCUAAUACCGUAUACGUCCUUCGGAGAAAGAUUUAUCGGUGAUGGAUGAGCCCGCGUUGGAUUAGCUAGUUGGUGGGGUAAUGGCCCACCAAGGCGACGAUCCAUAGCUGGUCUGAGAGGAUGAUCAGCCACACUGGGACUGAGACACGGCCCAGACUCCUACGGGAGGCAGCAGUGGGGAAUAUUGGACAAUGGGCGCAAGCCUGAUCCAGCCAUGCCGCGUGAGUGAUGAAGGCCCUAGGGUUGUAAAGCUCUUUCACCGGUGAAGAUAAUGACGGUAACCGGAGAAGAAGCCCCGGCUAACUUCGUGCCAGCCGCCGCCGUAA
rnacentral:rRNA from 1 species